GCCUUCAGAUGGUGGAGAAUGAUGCCUUAGACCCAGACCUGGAGUUGCCACCCUGUCCCAGCAUGAACUGCCUGCUAUUACCAUGCACCAGGGUUCUGAUUCCUUGACCUGUUUGUAGGGCUAGAUAGUGAAGACACAAUACUUCUUCCUUAUCCUGUUCACCCCUAUCCCUCACCUCCAUUUGUCUUCCCUGUUCUUUUCUUUAGGGGGAGGGGCGGCACCACAGGUGAAGCCCUUUGUCCCCACUAGGCGUGGUCCAGGUGGUGGGUGGAGUGUGCGAUUUCAAGGAAGGAAAAUGUAGCAGCUGGAGCUCUUAAGGUAGGACACGCAGUGUUUAGGGAGAGUAGGAGAAACCAGAUGGAAGGGCAGGAAAAGAUAGGGUUGGAGGCGCGUUGCGUCAGGGGCGGCUCAGAAAAUAGGAAUCAGGAACAAGUUACUGCUAGUUCUUCCACUCGCGGCUCUUCCCAGAGGAAGUGGCUCUCGCGGGAUCUCACGAGUUCCAGAGGCAUGCCAGGGGAAUCCUGGGAGGAGAAUCUGCCGGGAGCCGUGGGUCCCCGAGGCUCCUUCUCUCUGUGUUUUCCAUAAAAACGUCUGGCGCACCCCACCUAAGAAGCAAGCCCCAGUUCUGGUGGAGGCCUUGCUACCCUACUCCCCACUCGAGUCAUAGUUCAGCGGUUCCUCUUCCAAGGGGCGCGGCGAGAUUUGCCUCGUGGUGAGAACCUGCUGUGUAUCCUGUUUACAAGGUGCUUGGGGAACUUCUACUCAUGAGACACCCCAUUACCAGGUUCCGUGGGAGAAUGGAAGCCUAACUUCAGCAAGCCACCUGGCUCUAAGACUGCCUCCUGUCAUAAAUAUGUGAGAAGUUUAUUUUUACUUUUUUUAGGAUUGUUCUGCCUAUCCUAAAAGGAAGAAAGGGGUUGAAGAUCAUGCAGACAGACUCUAAAAAGGCAGAGAUCCUCCAAAACUGCAAUGUAAAUGAUAUGAUAAUGGGGGACGGAUCAUUUGAGGAUACACCUGACCUUAGUCACCUGUUUGCCCCAGAGAUUUCCCAACCUCACCAGUUUGCCUCACUCUCCUUUGGUAAGUAAUAGGUAUAUUUCGGUUCCAUCACUGCUCAUUACUAUUUAACUGCCUACUCUAACACUAUGAGAAUACCUUUUUACAUACCUAGGGCUUUUAGUUCAAGUCCCUGAUACUAAUAAUGAAUGGCAUUGGUUAAAUUACACUUUCCAAAAACAACUCCUAACUAUAACUCCUAACUAUAUGUUAACUUUGUCCAUAGUAAAAUUAUAAAUCUCCCUUUAUCAAAAGACAGAGUAAAAAUAAGGCAUAGAUAACCAACAUAUAUAACCAAUACACAUAAUCAGAAAGGACUAGUGUUCUAGAUCAUUCAAUAUAGAUCAAUGGAUUGAUAGAUGGACAAAAUUUUAAUAAGAAAAAAGAUGUAUGAAUCAAACUGAAAAUGAAUCAAAAACUUGUAUCAUCUUGAAAGGAAAUCUUUUACAAUCAUUAGUUAGCAAAUGGUUUCUCAUUACUGGAAUCCACUUUGCCUGACACCAGUAUGCUUCCUCUUUUCCCUCUAUGAUUUCCAACGGGCCAAUAAACCAAUGCAAAGGAGCCAACACUAUAAAAAAUUAAGUAAAUGCAAUAUAAAACCAAAGUAGGUUGUAAUUACAUAUCAACCAGAUUGGCAAAGAUUUAAAAUUUUGACCACACCUAAUGUUGACAAAGAUAUAAACCAAUAAAAUGCUUUCUACAAUGCUGUUGGGAGUAUAUUUGAAAAACAGUUUGGGUUUAUCUAGAAAAGUUUUGUAUUAUAUAUGACUUAUAUACUCUAGAGAAAUCCUUUCACAUUUACGUUGAAUGAUAAAUACAAAUGUUUAUAAUGGCAUUACACUACAUAGUCAAAAAUAGGAAGCUUUGCAAAAGUUUUUAAUAUAUCCUAUUUCUAUGAAAGACCUUAAUAAACAUAUCAACUGUCCUUAUAAAUAUAAUUUUGGCUGGAACAGUACUAAAAAUAAAAGAGCAAUUGAGAGUUGAAAAAAUUAAUUUCCUGUAUGAGUUAGAUGAUUUGAAAUCACUAAAAUAUUAUCAAUUAAAAAGAAGCAAAGUGAGUGAAAUAUACCACUUCUGGAUGCUAAAUCUAUUACAUAGUCCUAGUGUAGUCUUGACUUAUAGGUACCUACAUAAUAUGAAAAAAAGUCCUAAGUUUUGGUGGACUACAAGUGUAAUAUAUGCUAACGUACUAUGAUUUCCAGUAAUACCUAAGUAAUAAAACUUAAGACUCUUUUAGUACAAGCAAACAUUCUCAAAUCAAGGAAGAUAACAGCCCUGGUUUUCUCUCCACUGGUUAGUCCAUAGUUGGAAUAGGCUUCAUAGGCUAGAGAAGUAAUCUGCUUUCUUAAGGUAGACUAAGUAACACAAAUACAUGAAUUGACUAAAGUUAUUAAAACUUACACGUUCUAUAUCAA